UACGUAGGGUGCGAGCGUUGUCCGGAAUUAUUGGGCGUAAAGGGCUCGUAGGCGGUUUGUCGCGUCGGGAGUGAAAUCCACUGGCUUAACUGGUGGCUUGCUUUCGAUACGGGCAGACUGGAGGUAUGCAGGGGAGAACGGAAUUCCUGGUGUAGCGGUGAAAUGCGCAGAUAUCAGGAGGAACACCGGUGGCGAAGGCGGUCUCUGGGCCGAUACUGACGCUGAGGAGCGAAAGCGUGGGGAGCGAACAGG
rnacentral:rRNA from 1 species